GGAAAGGAGGUCAUGCGGCUCUUCCUCAAUUCGCCAUAGAUCCAGUUUUGGCAGCUUCAAAUGUUAUUCAAAGCUUACAACAACUCGUUUCGCGAGAGGCAGAUCCUUUAGACUCGCAGGUGGUUACAGUUGCUAAAUUUGAAGGCAGUGAUGCCUUUAAUGUCAUUCCUGACUUUGUUACUAUCGGUGGCACAUUCCGAGCCCUUUCACCUACAAGUUUUGCGCAAAUUAAGAAAAGAAUUGAGCAGGUUAUCACAACGCAA